rnacentral:rRNA from 1 species
UACGUAGGUGGCGAGCGUUGUCCGGAUUUACUGGGUGUGAAGGGCGAGUAGGCGGGCUAACAAGUCAGAUGUGAAAUACCGAGGCUCAACCUCGGGGCUGCAUUUGAAACUGUUAGUCUUGAGUGAUGGAGAGGCAGGCGGAAUUCCCAGUGUAGCGGUAAAAUGCAUAGAGAUUGGGAGGAACACCAGUGGCGAAGGCGGCCUGCUGGACAUUAACUGACGCUGAGGAGCGAAAGUGUGGGGAGCAAACAGG